rnacentral:rRNA from 1 species
AUUGAACGCUGGCGGCAUGCCUAACACAUGCAAGUCGAACGGCAGCACAGCAGUAGCAAUACUGUGGGUGGCGAGUGGCGGACGGGUGAGGAAUACGUCGGAAUCUGCCCAGUCGUGGGGGAUAACUAGCCGAAAGGUUAGCUAAUACCGCAUACGACCGAGAGGUGAGAGCGGGGGACCGCAAGGCCUCGCGCGAUUGGAUGAGCCGACGUCGGAUUAGCUAGUUGGCGGGGUAAAGGCCCACCAAGGCGACGAUCCGUAGCUGGUCUGAGAGGAUGAUCAGCCACACUGGAACUGAGACACGGUCCAGACUCCUACGGGAGGCAGCAGUGGGGAAUAUUGGACAAUGGGCGCAAGCCUGAUCCAGCAAUGCCGCGUGUGUGAAGAAGGCCUC